rnacentral:rRNA from 1 species
GCCGAAAGGCGUAGUCGAUGGGAAACGGGUUAAUAUUCCCGUACUUGGUGUUACUGCGAAGGGGGGACGGAGAAGGCUAUGUUGGCCGGGCGACGGUUGUCCCGGUUUAAGCGUGUAGGUGUGUGUUCCAGGUAAAUCCGGUUCACUUUAACACUGAGGCGUGACGACGAGGCACUACGGUGCUGAAGCAACAAAUGCCCUGCUUCCAGGAAAAGCCUCUAAGCAUCAGGUAACAUCAAAUCGUACCCCAAACCGACACAGGUGGUCAGGUAGAGAAUACCAAGGCGCUUGAGAGAACUCGGGUGAAGGAACUAGGCAAAAUGGUGCCGUAACUUCGGGAGAAGGCACGCUGACACGUAGGUGAAGUGAUUUACUCAUGGAGCUGAAGUCAGUCGAAGAUACCAGCUGGCUGCAACUGUUUAUUAAAAACACAGCACUGUGCAAACACGAAAGUGGACGUAUACGGUGUGACGCCUGCCCGGUGCCGGAAGGUUAAUUGAUGGGGUCAGCGCAAGCGAAGCUCCUGAUCGAAGCCCCGGUAAACGGCGGCCGUAACUAUAACGGUCCUAAGGUAGCGAAAUUCCUUGUCGGGUAAGUUCCGACCUGCACGAAUGGCGUAAUGAUGGCCAGGCUGUCUCCACCCGAGACUCAGUGAAAUUGAACUCGCUGUGAAGAUGCAGUGUACCCGCGGCAAGACGGAAAGACCCCGUGAACCUUUACUAUAGCUUGACACUGAACAUUGAGCCUUGAUGUGUAGGAUAGGUGGGAGGCUUUGAAGUGUGGACGCCAGUCUGCAUGGAGCCGACCUUGAAAUACCACCCUUUAAUGUUUGAUGUUCUAACGUGGACCCGUUACCCGGGUUGCGGACAGUGUCUGGUGGGUAGUUUGACUGGGGCGGUCUCCUCCUAAAGAGUAACGGAGGAGCACGAAGGUUGGCUAAUCCUGGUCGGACAUCAGGAGGUUAGUGCAAUGGCAUAAGCCAGCUUGACUGCGAGCGUGACGGCGCGAGCAGGUGCGAAAGCAGGUCAUAGUGAUCCGGUGGUUCUGAAUGGAAGGGCCAUCGCUCAACGGAUAAAAGGUACUCCGGGGAUAACAGGCUGAUACCGCCCAAGAGUUCAUAUCGACGGCGGUGUUUGGCACCUCGAUGUCGGCUCAUCACAUCCUGGGGCUGAAGUAGGUCCCAAGGGUAUGGCUGUUCGCCAUUUAAAGUGGUACGCGAGCUGGGUUUAGAACGUCGUGAGACAGUUCGGUCCCUAUCUGCCGUGGGCGAUGGAGAACUGAGGGGGGCUGCUCCUAGUACGAGAGGACCGGAGUGGACGCAUCACUGGUGUUCGGGUUGUCAUGCCAAUGGCACUGCCCGGUAGCUAAAUGCGGAAGAGAUAAGUGCUGAAAGCAUCUAAGCACGAAACUUGCCCCGAGAUGAGUUCUCCCUGAGACUUUAGGUCUCCUGAAGGAACGUUGAAGACGACGACGUUGAUAGGCCGGGUGUGUAAGCGCAGCGAUGCGUUGAGCUAACCGGUACUAAUGAACCGUGAGGCUUAACCUU